CCCUUAGAUGUCCGGGGCUGCACGCGCGCUACACUGGAGAAAUCAGCAUGCCUUCAUACCUGGCCCGAAAGGGUCGGGUAACCCGCUGAAACUUCUCCGUGAUUGGGAUAGGGAAUUGCAAUUAUUUCCCUUGAACGAGGAAUUCCCAGUAAGUGUGGGUCAUAAGCUCGCGUUGAUUACGUCCCUGCCCUUUGUACACACCGCCCGUCGCUGCCCGGGACUGAGCCGUUUCGAGAAAAGCGGGGACUGCUGCUGUCGGGGCUUUCGGGCCUUGGCUUCGGUGGAAACCGCUUUAAUCGCAGUGGCUUGAACCGGGCAAAAGUCGUAACA
rnacentral:rRNA from 1 species